AGGUGAACCUGCGGAAGGAUCAUUACCUUUCAAUGCAGAAGAGUUGAGAUGGUUGAGUAUCUCGCCUCUCAAUUCUCGCUGUAUUUUACCCUUGUUUUUCUCAUACUAUUAUUUCCUCGGCAGGCUCGCCUGCCGGGUGAAACAACUUCAAACCUGUUUAAUUUUCAAUCAGCGUCUGAACAAAUUAAUAAUUACAACUUUCAACAACGGAUCUCUUGGUUCUGGCAUCGAUGAAGAACGCAGCGAAAUGCGAUAAGUAGUGUGAAUUGCAGAAUUCAGUGAAUCAUCGAAUCUUUGAACGCACAUUGCGCCCCUUGGUAUUCCAUGGGGCAUGCCUGUUCGAGCGUCAUUUGUACCUUCAAGCUCUGCUUGGUGUUGGGUGUUUGUCCUUGCUCUAGUGGCGGGACUCGCCUUAAAGUAAUUGGCAGCCAGUGUUUUGGUUUUGAAGCGCAGCACAAGUCGCGAUUCAAGUCUAUACGCUAGUUUCCACAAGUCUUUUAUCACUUUGACCUCGGAUCAGGUAGGG
rnacentral:rRNA from 1 species